AUUGAACGCUGGCGGCAUGCCUUACACAUGCAAGUCGAACGGUAACGCGGGGCAACCUGGCGACGAGUGGCGAACGGGUGAGUAAUACAUCGGAACGUGCCCAGUAGUGGGGGAUAGCCCGGCGAAAGCCGGAUUAAUACCGCAUACGACCUACGGGUGAAAGCAGGGGAUCGCAAGACCUUGCGCUAUUGGAGCGGCCGAUGUCAGAUUAGGUUGUUGGUGGGGUAAAAGCCUACCAAGCCGACGAUCUGUAGCUGGUCUGAGAGGACGACCAGCCACACUGGGACUGAGACACGGCCCAGACUCCUACGGGAGGCAGCAGUGGGGAAUUUUGGACAAUGGGGGCAACCCUGAUCCAGCCAUGCCGCGUGAGUGAAGAAGGCCUUCGGGUUGUAAGACUCUUUCGGUCCGGGAAGGAAAUACGCAUGGGCGUAAUACCCUCGUGCGGAUGACGGUACCGGC
rnacentral:rRNA from 1 species